UACAGAGGUCUCAAGCGUUGUUCGGAUUCAUUGGGCGUAAAGGGUGCGUAGGUGGCGCCAUAAGUCAGGUGUGAAGUCUCGGGGCUCAACUCCGAAACUGCACUUGAUACUGUGGUGCUCGAGUACUGGAGAGGAGAUUGGAAUUUACGGUGUAGCAGUGAAAUGCGUAGAUAUCGUAAGGAAGACCAGUGGCGAAGGCGAAUCUCUGGACAGUUACUGACACUGAGGCACGAAGGCCAGGGGAGCAAACGGG
rnacentral:rRNA from 1 species